AGGUGAUGUGAGUUGCUUAGCCACUAUUCCAGCUGACAAGGAAGGGGAAGCCCAUUUCUUAGCCAAGGAGGAUGGUGUUAUCGCUGGAAUUGGUGUUGCAGACAUCGUUUUCAUGGAAGUUGAUCCUCUAUUAAAGGUUGAAUGGUCUCGGAGUGAUGGAGAUGAUAUAAACAAAGGUGUCCAGUUUGGCAAAGUGUAUGGAUGCGCACACAGUAUUCUGGUGGCAGAAAGGGUUGUGCUAAAUUUUAUGCAGAGAAUGAGUGGGAUAGCGACACAUACAAAGGU